AUAAUAUGUGUGAGGAGUGUGUGAGUGUGUUGUGUACUUAGGAUUGGGGUUGUCCAAUCCACUGACCAAAAAAAAAACAAUCACUAGGGUUUCGGAGUGCAACUAGAUUUUCAUUUUGUUAUUUACCAAAAAAUAAAAAAUAUUUUCAUUUUGUUACUCCAAAAUUUUCUUGUUCGUUUUUGUUGCUUCUCUAAUCAACGCUUCACCAUGAGCAGAUCAGGGCAGCCACCGGAUUUGAAGAAGUACAUGGACAAGAAAUUUUAGAAUAAUACUACACAUUCAAGUCUUUUUACGAACUUAAGUCCAACCGAGAUAAACAAUAAGAAUUGAAAUAAUCCCAGUCAUAAUUGAUUUUUUUAUAUUGGAUCAACUUGGUUGAAUAUGGUUAAUAAAAAAAUUUGGAUGAGUAGCAUUAUUCUAGUCCUUAUCAUCUGCUUGCAGUUAAACCUAAUGCAAACAGGAUGAUUGUUGGUACCCUCAGGGGUUUUGACCAGUUCAUGAACCUAAUUGUUGACAACACUGUUGAAGUCAAUGGCAAUGAAAAUAGCGAAAUAGGAAUGGUGGUAGUUAGAGGAAACAGUGUGGUUACUGUUGAAGCACUUGAGCCUGUCAACUUCUGUUUUAUUGUAAUAUUUCUCAGUAAUUGCAAUGUUUGAAAUGGUGUAUAUUUUGAACAUUGUAGAUGGCUUACUUCUGAGAGUAACAUGGAAGCGUGGACCUUAAGGUCAUUUGGCCAUUACUUUGGAGUUCAUUUCUUUUCUCAGCUGAUUUGUUAGUGUAGCGCACUGUGCAUUCCAGAUACCACUGUGAUUUUUUAAUGGGAUGCACUGAGUUUACCAAAUUGAAAUUAUGUCUAUAUAUAUAUAUAUAUGCAUUCUUCUUAGUUGAAUUUCUUCUCUUUUUUAUUUUAUUUUUUAUAGAAUUAUAAUCUUUUCUUCCGUUAUGUAUUGUUAUGAUUUAAUAAUACUUUGAUGGUUCUGUCUGUGCUCAAAACUUGGUUCACGUCUGUCUUUUGGAUAAACAAGGGGCAAAUUGCCUAACCACCGCACUAGGAUGCCAUUAAAAGAAACAUGACGUGUUCCAGCAAAUAAAGCAGUGAAGAAAGAGAAUUAGUUGUGGGGGCAAAUGAUGAAACCCCACAGGAAGUGAGGGACCAUGCUUAGCAAGCUCUGAACAUUUUGUAUGAUUUUCUUAUUGUAAAUAUUUGUUGUUAGUUGUGUAUCUCAUGGAGGGGAUUAGCUGUUACAUGUUUUUGUUAUGUAGUUGAGUCAUGUAUUUGUUUUGUUUCAUUCGGUAUGUUUAGA